CCAUCCUAGGACCCAACGCUGGUUCACCUGUACUUCCGUUCAGUACUGCACGGGGAGUGGUGCACUCCACUUGUGAUAUUUACACUCAGCUCCAGUUCUCCUUUUAGUACCUUGAUGCUGGUAUUGAUGUUGCCACCAACUCUUUUAGGCACAUUGAAAACCAAUCAAAAGACUGUCAAUUUUGUCUUGUAAAAAAGCAGUGCACUCUUCCAGGGCCCCUUUCCCCGGCAGAGUGACUUAUUAAACCGGAAACUCUAGUCAGACAGUUGCUAAUUUUUUUUUCUUCAUUUUGUUGCUGCUGUUGCUGCUUAUCAAUUUCAUUACACUGAACCCUACCUGCCUGUGUGCAGUUGGCAGUACAUCCACUGCCAGAAUCUCUGACGUAUGGUAUCCUGGCUCAAAAUGCUCUGCCCCCCUGCCCCGGGGGUCACCAAUGUUCUCAUGCAGAGAGCUCAUUUCAAUCAAGAACCCUUAUCUGUGAUCAACGAGCAACUUAGAGCAAGUCCGAGCAUGAUAGUCAUCCGUUCCUUCAGCCUUCUGUCACAGGCAACAGGAAUUUUCAUGUCCCAGUGCCUUUCUUGAAGGUAAAAAAAACAGUUCCCAUGGCAGUUGAGUUGAAAUCAUUUUUACAAUUUGAACAGCUUUUAUUGAAGGAGUGGCAUUUGUUAUUGGUGCAUGCCCUUCCAGAACUUUUUUCCCAUUUGACUAAUCUCGUCUACCCGAGUUGUUUUCCUUCUUGUUUCAAUUUUAACAUAACAAAUCUGGGGAUGGGCAAAAUCUGUUUUUCCUUUAUAAUUUGAUCUUUGAGUCUACUUACUUCAAUAAAAAAAACAUGCUCUUUCGCACAUCUGAAAUUUGCCAUCAUGAGCCUUGUCUUCAUAAUACUCUAUGCUUAAAAGAAUUUUGAGUUCUUUUUUCAAAGCUGGCAGCUACAUGUAAAGUCAGUUUGAAAACUUUGCUGGGUUUGGUGAUGCAUUGAGAAAUGACACGUCCAUGAAUUGCACGCUUGAACAAGGACAGCAUCUUUUUUAACCAUUUUUAGAUGGGGACAUGGGAACCCAAUGCACUCAGCUGUGAAGGGAAACUCUGAUUUUUUAAAAAGAAAAUUGAAGUCUGACAGACUGAUUUCUGAAUAGAAAGUCAACAGAUUUUCAAUUGCUGACUGUAUAAACAUUGCAUUGCCGGGGUUUUGGGUGACUCGGUUGCUGUCGUACCACUUUUUGUUUUGUUGUCUGAGUGAAACUAGAAUAAAUCAUUAUUUGUACACUUACAUUGGCCAUGGAGCCACACUUGCAGUUCAACAUGGGAACAUUGUAUUGGGGUUUUGGAGGUGACUAGGUGCAAUGGAGUUUAUUCCAUUUCUUUUAUUGCAAGAGCACGGCGAGAAUAAAUCCUCUUUUUAUGCAUGAGCCCAUUCCAGGUUCUUCGCCUGUUUGCCAUCUUCUGAUUUUGUUUUUAUAAAAUCUGGCAUAUAGUCUUGUCAGAGUUGGAAGUGCUGAGGAAGUAUCUUUCUGUCUUGUUUUCCAAAUCUAAGGAAGGCUUGAUUGACCGGUUGUAGAGUAUGAGCUGAUGCUACACGUAGAACAUAUAUUUAAGUACAUAACCACACGAUCAAAGUCCCUGAGCUUGCCUUGCUAGCAAUCAUGCAGCUCAAGAGAGAUAAGCCUCCUAGUGUGAUAGUGGUUAUGUGCUACCUGUGUAUCUCGGGCAGUCCCAUGUUUCCCACCAAAAUGAUACCUUGUGGAAUUUGAAAGGUGUUGUAAGGUCAGGUUUAAUUACUCUCAGCAAUCUAUUCAUGCCAGUUUUAAUAGUUAGGGGAUCUUAGUCCUUUCAUACAAGAGGUGGUACAUUUAAUUGUUUUUUCUUGUUCUUCUUUUCAUUUUUUCACCUUUAUAAUCAGAGCACAGAUAGUUGAAAUUCGUUACACAGUAAACUUAUGUUCCUCAAAGUCUGUUCAGUUGAAACUCCAAAGGCAUCAUUGCCACCAGAAAAAUAGGCUUUUAUGUACAGAAAGUCCUCCAUAACUCGAAGUGCCUACUGUGCAACAUCUGCUUAUUUUUAAGUUUCUGUGAUGCCAAUCCAAAAGAAACAUCUGCAGUUGUUAUACUGCCAAGUGAUUCUCUUCACACUGUGUUAUCACAACAAAACUUAGGUUUCAAGCAAGCUUGAUUAUUGCCACCAUGGGCCCAGUUUCCAGUGUUGGAGUACUUGCACUAAUCACAAGAAUACUCAUCAGCCUACUGUAUACUCAAUUUCAGUACUCAAAAAUUAAUUGUACUGGACCCACAUACUUGAUUCUUGUACUUGGAUUUUGGGCAUACUCGAAACUUAGGUACUUGAUCCUUGUACUAAAAAACAUUCAAGUACUUCACAUUUUAUUGAAGCAUUUUCGGGCAGUGGGUGAGCAAAGAUUGCAUUACUCAACCUUGAAUGCAAGGCAAGGUGACACAGCAGUUUUACUCUGUAGUCUGUAUACUCUCUAAAUCAAAAGAGGGAAAACUUAGUCUUUUCAAGUGAAAAUCCACUCCCACAGUUGGAAACUAGGGACUAGACGUUUUACAGUGAAAUUUCUUCCAUCGAAAAGAUCGAGUUUUCACUCAAGCUCCUACUGAAGUGAUCAUUUUGUAAAGAGUAUUUUAAUCUAAAUUGAGAGUGAUUUUCACUCUAAAUCGUCUUGUGCCUAAUUUCACUCUUUCGGAUUUAGAGAGUAAUAUGUACAUAAUGCUUUACCAUAGCAUGGGUAAGGAUCACUUUUCUACUUGUCAGAUUCUGCCUUCACAGCGUUUACCGUAGUAAAUUGUAGUGCUGAUAUGAGCCGAGCUAAGCUUGUGCUCCAUGAGUGUCGUGUCAUUUCCACGGUCCAUGUGCACAAAUAAAAGUUGAAAGUGUUAACUACUCUGUAAAGAUGAUUAUGUCAUGGUGUGUUUGUUCAAGUAAUAUACACGUAUAUCUACUUGUAGAUGUAUUUAAUUUGUUUGUUUACCUUCUUGGUGUAUUUAUCUUCUUGGUAUUGUACUGGGAGUCAGGCUUUUACUUCAGUAUUUGGAUUCAGCCCAUUUGCUGGUCUUGAAUGUACUCACACAUUGUACUCCGUGUUUUGUUCUCGGAUUCCUCUCCAGUGCACUUGUACUCGGCCUGCAACUUGGGCCCUAAAGUACUCGGAUUACUCUGUACAUAUACUUGGAUUUGAGGACUUGACUCCAGAACUGUCACACAAAGUUUGCUGUUUAACUUGUGUGUUAUUUAUAGAACAAAAUCUUUUUUUUCAUGAACACGAUAACAUUUCAGUAACUGGUGAUUUUUAUGAGUGGUGCACCAUGAAUAGAAGAUAACUAACCACAGAAAUGUUUCCAAUAGCCAUCGUGGAGUGAGUUGUAAUGUAUACUCUGUAGGUGUGUAUAUGGGUAGGCCCCCUAUAACUAUGAUGACUCCAUAAAACAAGGAAUUUUUGUUCGCUUGAAAUCCACGUACCUCAUAUCGUAGUUUUGGGAUUUUUUGUGUUUUCCCAUUCCCCUGCAGUUUUGAGUUACUCGGGUAUUUAUGCCCGUUAUUUGACCUGGAUAUGUGCUCAACACUAAAUUUUUAAUUUAACCAUUGUCACUGACUUGACAAGUGAAUUUGUCUUUUGUUAAAUAGGGUUAGACUUGGCAAAUGACACUCAUAGUGGUGUUCAACUGCAUGCAUCAUGCCAUGUGACUUGCUUCAGUACUUCCUGUUGCUUUUCUUCAGCUGUUGAAAUUUAUUUUCAAUUAAUGUCAUAUGUUGGCAGUGCCCUCGCCAUACAUCCUGGAUUCUCAACUGAUGUUUUAAACACACAAACCAUGCCAUGCACACAAACCAUUGUGCAUGUGGUGUGCCACACGAAAAGAGGGAUACGUGCUGCCUGUCCACUAUUUCUGCAUAGUGGCCACACAACAUAGGCCCAUGCACUGACGCGACAUCACACUUUGUCUUACAUGUGCACAUUUCCUUGGAGCCAGUCAGGGUCCACAGUCCACUUGUAGAGUGAUAUCAUCAGUGCAGAGAGCUCCUCAGGCAAUACGUCAAUCCAUGACAACAUUUCUGUCUGCAUAUUGACCAGGGAGCAUGAGACCUGCCUGCUCUGUAGCUUGCUCAAAUCAAACAAAUAAAAGCCUGUUACACCAUGUGUAUCGUGGACUUUAGAAAAGAGUAUGAUACCUUACAGAAAAGGGAUUUGUUACUUUUGUACUUGAUUUAACCUUCUUAAGAUGGGGGAGGAUGAAUUCUUUGCUAAUCCGACUCAAGAAUAAUCCUGUUUAGAAGAUGCAUCUUUUGCAUGAUUGGUAAACAAUUUACACUGUACUUGAAGCAAUUUUGGACAAUGCACCCUGCAUUUUUGGGGGUGUUUUACUUGUGUUUACAGUGCAGAGACAUUCUUUGUUUAUGUUACGGUAUUGCUACAGCGCUGCUCUUGUGCUGAUUGAGCUACUGUUAUCAAGUGAGCUCCACUAGUUGCCAUUGUUGUAGUCAUGAUCUGAUGACUGAAGCACCCGAGCACAGAAUAAAGACACAGUCAUAGUUCUAUUACCCUCUGUGUCUGGAAGCGAUCCUUUUA